UGAGCUAUGCUGUGAGGUCCUACUGAGGU
rnacentral:piRNA from 1 species